AUUGAACGCUGGCGGCAUGCCUUACACAUGCAAGUCGAACGGUAACAGGUCUUCGGAUGCUGACGAGUGGCGAACGGGUGAGUAAUACAUCGGAACGUGCCCGAUCGUGGGGGAUAACGAAGCGAAAGCUUUGCUAAUACCGCAUAAGAUCUACGGAUGAAAGCAGGGGACCGCAAGGCCUUGCGCGAACGGAGCGGCCGAUGGCAGAUUAGGUAGUUGGUGGGAUAAAAGCUUACCAAGCCGACGAUCUGUAGCUGGUCUGAGAGGACGACCAGCCACACUGGGACUGAGACACGGCCCAGACUCCUACGGGAGGCAGCAGUGGGGAAUGUUGGACAAUGGGCGAAAGCCUGAUCCAGCCAUGCCGCGUGCAGGAUGAAGGCCUUCGGGUUGUAAACUGCUUUUGUACGGAACGAAAAGACUCUGGUUAAUACCUGGGGUCCAUGACGGUACCGUAAGAAUAAGCACCGGCUAACUACGUG
rnacentral:rRNA from 1 species